rnacentral:rRNA from 1 species
CCCUUAGAUGUUCUGGGCCGCACGCGCGCUACACUGAUGCAUUCAACGAGUCUAAAACCUGCUCUGAUAGGGGUGGGUAAUCUUUUGAAUGUGCAUCGUGAUUGGGAUAGAUGAUUGCAAUUUUUCAUCUUCAACGAGGAAUGCCUAGUAAACGCAAGUCAUCAGCUUGCAUUGAUUACGUCCCUGCCCUUUGUACACACCGCCCGUCGCUCCUACCGAUUGAAUGAUCCGAUGAAUAUCAUGGAUUGAGGAUGCAAGUAGGUUAGCCUAUCUUCAUCUUCGAGAAGUGAAGUAAAUCUUAUCAUUUAGAGGAAGGAGAAGUCGUAACA